GGGGAAUAUUGGACAAUGGGGGGAACCCUGAUCCAGCCAUGCCGCGUGUGUGAAGAAGGCCUUAUGGUUGUAAAGCACUUUAAGCGAGGAGGAGGCUCUUUUGGUUAAUACCCAAGAUGAGUGGACGUUACUCGCAGAAUAAGCACCGGCUAACUCUGUGCCAGCAGCCGCGGUAAUACAGAGGGUGCGAGCGUUAAUCGGAUUUACUGGGCGUAAAGCGUGCGUAGGCGGCUUUUUAAGUCGGAUGUGAAAUCCCCGAGC
rnacentral:rRNA from 1 species